UGGGGAAUUUUGGACAAUGGGCGAAAGCCUGAUCCAGCAAUGCCGCGUGCAGGAUGAAGGCCCUCGGGUUGUAAACUGCUUUUGUACGGAACGAAAAGCCUGGGGCUAAUACCCCCGGGUCAUGACGGUACCGUAAGAAUAAGCACCGGCUAACUACGUGCCAGCAGCCGCGGUAAUACGUAGGGUGCAAGCGUUAAUCGGAAUUACUGGGCGUAAAGCGUGCGCAGGCGGUUUUGUAAGACAGUAGUGAAAUCCCCGGGCUCAACCUGGGAACUGCCAUUGUGACUGCAAAGCUAGAGUGCGGCAGAGGGGGAUGGAAUUCCGCGUGUAGCAGUGAAAUGCGUAGAUAUGCGGAGGAACACCGAUGGCGAAGGCAAUCCCCUGGGCCUGCACUGACGCUCAUGCAUGAAAGCGUGGGGAGCAAACA
rnacentral:rRNA from 1 species